UACAGAGGUCCCAAGCGUUGUUCGGAUUCACUGGGCGUAAAGGGUGCGUAGGCGGUCGGGUAAGUCUGAUGUGAAAUCUCACAGCUUAACUGUGAAACUGCAUUGGAUACUAUCCGGCUAGAGGAAUGGAGGGGAGACUGGAAUACUUGGUGUAGCAGUGAAAUGCGUAGAUAUCAAGUGGAACACCAGUGGCGAAGGCGAGUCUCUGGACAUUUCCUGACGCUGAGGCACGAAAGCCAGGGGAGCGAACGGG
rnacentral:rRNA from 1 species